GGCUUCCCGGCAUGAAUAGCGAUUAAACGUUUAUAUUCUGGUGCUAAAGCAUGCUGUGAUUUAUCUCCAUCAUCGGUAUCUUCCUCAUCUUCUUCAUCCAAGUCGUCCUGUCAUAUGAGAUAAAACAUAAACUCAAUAAGUUAAUUA